GACGAACGCUGGCGGCGUGCCUAAUACAUGCAAGUUGAGCGCUGAAGGUUGGUCCUUGUACCAACUGGAUGAGCAGCGAACGGGUGAGUAACGCGUGGGGAAUCUGCCUUUGAGCGGGGGACAACAUUUGGAAACGAAUGCUAAUACCGCAUAAAAACUUUAAACACAAGUUUUAAGUUUGAAAGAUGCAAUUGCAUCACUCAAAGAUGAUCCCGCGUUGUAUUAGCUAGUUGGUGAGGUAAAGGCUCACCAAGGCGAUGAUACAUAGCCGACCUGCGAGGGUGAUCGGCCACAUUGGGACUGAGACACGGCCCAAACUCCUACGGGAGGCAGCAGUAGGGAAUCUUCGGCAAUGGACGAAAGUCUGACCGAGCAACGCCGCGUGAGUGAAGAAGGUUUUCGGAUCGUAAAACUCUGUUGGUAGAGAAGAACGUCGGUGAGAGUGGAAAGCUCAUCAAGUGACGGUAACUACCCAGAAAGGGACGGCUAACUACGUG
rnacentral:rRNA from 1 species